AGACCAUUCACUUUGAGGAAAGACAGCUGCUGCCAUGUCAUGAGGACACUCAGCCAGUCCAUGGCAAGAUCCACAUGAUCCCCAGUACUGAGUUCUUUUGUUGAUCAUCCUGCUUGCAUUGAAGUACUUGGUCCUCUCCUCAGUUGAUGACUAACCUCCUGUUUCCUGCAGGUGCUGUUUCCAACUCUUCACGGCCUGAAUGUCAGUUUAUAUUUUCUUCAACAGGAGACUCA